GAUGAAGAACGCAGCAAAAUGCGAUAAGUAAUGUGAAUUGCAGAAUUCAGUGAAUCAUCGAAUCUUUGAACGCACAUUGCGCCCGCCAGUAUUCUGGCGGGCAUGCCUGUUCGAGCGUCAUUUCAACCCUCAAGCCCUCGGUUUGGUGUUGGGGAUCGGCGAGCCUUUCUGGCAAGCCGGCCCCGAAAUCUAGUGGCGGUCUCGCUGCAGCCUCCAUUGCGUAGUAGUAAAACCCUCGCAACUGGAACGCGGCGCGGCCAAGCCGUUAAACCCCCAACUUCUGAAUGUUGACCUCGGAUCAGGUAGGAAUACCCGCUGAACUUAAGCAUAUCAAUAAGCGGAGGA
rnacentral:misc_RNA from 1 species